rnacentral:lncRNA from 1 species
GGACACAAAGUGUGGUAUACUAAAUCUCAUUCCAAUGGCUGAUUUAACAAGUCACAUUUCGACUAAUUCUUUAGUAUCGUACUAAGAAUUGCAUAAAAAAAGGAGGUACAUUUUGGACGGGGUUAUUGUGCUAAAUGAGGUAAUCGAAGAGGUCAAAAAAGGAAGAAGGGCUCAAUCCUGUUCAAAGUAGAUUUCGAAAAGGCUUAUGACACAAUUGAUUGGGACUUUCUGGACCAAAUGCUCGACAGGAUGAACUUCGGCUUAAAGUGGAGAAAAUGGAUCUCGGGUUGCCUUCUUUCUGCCACCGCUAACGUCUUGGUCAAUGGAAGUCCUUCGGGCGAAUUCCAAUUGGAAAGAGGACUCAGACAGGGGAUCCUUUAUCCCCCUAUCUUUUUCUUAUUGUCGCAGAGGGUCUCAAUUUACUCACAGAGAGAGCUAUUCAGAAAUGGCUGAUCGAACCUAUUGAGCUUGGGAAUAAUGGCACAAAAAUCUCUCAUCUUCAAUAUGCGGAUGACACAGUGUUCCUCGCCCCGGGGAAAGCUGAGAAUGUUUGGACGGUGAAGUGUAUUCUUAAAAUUUUCGAACUGCUCUCAGGCCUAAAAGUCAACUUCGAUAAGAGCUGUAUUUUCGGGAUUGGCAUCCAAAGACCAAUCAGAGAUCAGUUGGCGGCAAUUCUCGAUUGUAAAGUCGGGGAUCUCCCAACUAAAUACUUGGGAAUUUUGAUUGGCGCUCGAAUAUCCCGAGUCGAUGACUGGAAGUACUUGGUUGAAAAAAUAAAGAGAAGAAUUUCCAAGUGGAUGAACCGAAAGGUCUCCUUUGUUGGCAGACUCACACUGCUCCGAUCGGUCCUCUUAUCUAUUCCAAUCUAUCAAAUGUCUUUCUCGAUUUUGCCCAAGAAAGUGGUGGCUGAUCUUCGCUCUUUGAUGAGCAAUUUUCUUUGGGGAGGGGAGGGCUCGGAGGAGAGAAAGAUCCAUUGGGUAAAAUGGGAUGAUCUCUGUCAAGACACCCGAGAGGGGGGAUUCGGCCUAAAAGAUCUGGAAAGCUUCAAUUUGGCCCUUAUGACUAAGUGGUUGUGGAGAUUUUUGUCGGAGGAGCAUUCCCUUUGGGUUCGGGUGGUGAAAGCUUGUAAGGGGGAUUUGGAGUGGAACGAGGAGGGCUUUUGUUUUGCAAGAAAUAAGAAGGCGAAAGCCGGCUGGUGGAAGAAGAUUUUGAAACUCAGUUGGGGGGAGGAAGGGAGAUGGCUCAAUGAAAAUUUGAAAAGGAAAAUUGGAGACGAAAAAUCUAAUAUGUUCUAGCAUCACAGGUGGGCAGUAGAGAAAAGGCUUAAAGACAGUUUUCCAAGACUCUUUCGCUUGAGCAGUAACCAGGGGGGAACUCUUUUCGACAUGGGUGGCUGGGCAGACGGAGUGUGGGAGUGGAGACCUCUUUGGAAACGGGUUCUGAGGGAGCGCGAGGAUGCUCAGCUCUCUGAAAUCCUCUCUAUUAUCAAUAAUUUCCCUCUUUGCGCAGGAAAGCAAGACGGUUGGAGAUGGAAGCCGGACCCCAACAGAUUCUUUUCUGCAAAGUCGGCUUACAAAAUUAUCCGUGGAGCUAGAGCUUUGAGCAGAAACCAACCGAAAAAUCUAGCAUUCUCGAAGAUCUGGAAGGCCCCAGCACCCUACAAGAUGAAGAUAACAACAUAGAGAAUUGUCAAAGGGAAAAUUGGUGAAUAAGAUUAAGACGAGACUGUGGAGCUGGACGAAGGUGUACAAGAUGGAGCAGUCGUCACCUAAUCUUCUCUCGUGGAUGAGGAACUUGGAUGUCUUCGAUUGUUCCUGAGCCCGGCUGACCCAACCGCCGCUCUCUUUCCUCUCUUUCUGCUCUUCUUUGUGUGCUGUUCUUUGCCGGACUCUCUUCUUUCUGGUACCGCUGGUACCAUGGUUUUAAUAUUACUUCCCUUUUCUUGAUCAAAAAAAAAAAGAAUUGCAUAAAAAAACUACCAUUUCUGUGGUCUAAAUUUGUUGAAGGAAAAAAGUCUAGGGACAAGUUGAAUAAAAUUCACCUUGCGUGAUCAAUCAACUUUCACGAGAUCCACUUUUCUUGCUAUUUUCAGAUACAUUGAACCUGGA